UACGUAGGGGGCAAGCGUUGUCCGGAAUCAUUGGGCGUAAAGCGCGUGUAGGCGGUCCGGUAAGUCCGCUGUGAAAGUCGAGGGCUCAACCCUCGAAUGCCGGUGGAUACUGUCGGGCUAGAGUACGGAAGAGGCGAGUGGAAUUCCUGGUGUAGCGGUGAAAUGCGCAGAUAUCAGGAGGAACACCAAUUGCGAAGGCAGCUCGCUGGGACGUUACUGACGCUGAGACGCGAAAGCGUGGGGAGCAAACAGG
rnacentral:rRNA from 1 species